ensembl:miRNA
UCCCAUGCUGUGGCCCUCUAGAGGAAGCACUUUCUGUUUGUUGUCUGAGAAAAAACAAGGUGCUUCCCUUUAGAGCGUUACCAUUUGGGA